AAUGCUUAGGAAUCUGCCUAUUAGUGGGGGACAACAUUCCGAAAGGAAUGCUAAUACCGCAUACGCCCUACGGGGGGAAGCAGGGGAUCUUCGGACCUUGCGCUAAUAGAUGAGCCUAAGUCAGAUUAGCUAGUUGGUGGGGUAAAGGCCUACCAAGGCGACGAUCUGUAGCGGGUCUGAGAGGAUGAUCCGCCACACUGGGACUGAGACACGGCCCAGACUCCUACGGGAGGCAGCAGUGGGGAAUAUUGGACAAUGGGCGAAAGCCUGAUCCAGCCAUGCCGCGUGUGUGAAGAAGGCCUUUUGGUUGUAAAGCACUUUAAGCGAGGAGGAGGCUACCGAGAUUAAUACUCUUGGAUAGUGGACGUUACUCGCAGAAUAAGCACCGGCUAACUCUGUGCCAGCAGCCGCGGUAAUACAGAGGGUGCGAGCGUUAAUCGGAUUUACUGGGCGUAAAGCGUGCGUAGGCGGCUUUUUAAGUCGGAUGUGAAAUCCCUGAGCUUAACUUAGGAAUUGCAUUCGAUACUGGGAAGCUAGAGUAUGGGAGAGGAUGGUAGAAUUCCAGGUGUAGCGGUGAAAUGCGUAGAGAUCUGGAGG
rnacentral:rRNA from 1 species